rnacentral:rRNA from 1 species
UACGUAAAGGGCUAGCGUUGUCCGGAAUCAUUGGGCGUAAAGAGCGUGUAGGCGGCCCGGUAAGUCCGCUGUGAAAGUCGGGGGCUCAACCCUCGAAUACCGGUGAAUACUGUCGGGCUCGAGUACGGAAAAAAACGAGUGGAAUUCCGUGGUGUAGCGGUGAAAAUGCGCAGAUAUCAGGAGGAACACCUAUUGCGAAGGCAGCUCGCUGGGACGUACUGCGCUGAGACGCGAAAGCGUGGGGAACAAACAGG